UACGUAGGUCGCAAGCGUUGUCCGGAUUUACUGGGCGUAAAGAGCGCGCAGGCGGCUUGGCAAGUCGGAUGUGAAAUCCCUCGGCUCAACCAAGGAAGUGCAUCCGAUACUGCGUGGCUAGAGGUAGGUAGGGGAGAUCGGAAUUCCUGGUGUAGCGGUGAAAUGCGCAGAUAUCAGGAGGAACACCGGUGGCGAAGGCGGAUCUCUGGGCCUUACCUGACGCUCAGGCACGAAAGCUAGGGGAGCGAACAGG
rnacentral:rRNA from 1 species